CUUCUAUUUAAACACUUCUAUUGAAUUUUACAUGCAACCGAAAUAUCUUAUCUAUGUCUUUUCGCAUCUGCAAACACCAGCGUUUUGAUGAUUUUAAUGGGAGGUGCUGUUUAAUCCACAGAGAUGCUUAAUCCGUAUCGGUGUGUUUUCUCUGAUCCAGACGUCGCGUCUGACUCGCUAGCGGUUCGAAUCAUGUUCAGGUGUGAUCUGUGGUAACAACUAAUGGAAAGACUGAGAAGAUAGCUACAUGUUUGCUUGAUCCUUUCUUUCAUACUUGAAGACAUAAAAAGACCAGCUUGCUAAAGGUGUCUACUUGAUUAUUCUCAAGCAUGAAGAUAUUAACAGUGUCUUGGUUCACUAAAGGAACAAUUCAAAGGUUUUACACCAAUCGGAAUUAACAUAAAAUGGGAAUUUUUGGGUUGGACACCAUGAUCGAAAUUGAGAGACCUUUUCUUCUUUUUUGUUAUCAUUAGGUUUGUACGAUUAGUGGGCAAUCCGGGUGUCCUAGAACGUGGUUACACUUCAAAAAUUGAGAGAUCAUGCAGAUUAAUGAAGCAAUUGGCAUCCAAACAACUUUGAAGAGGCAUUAAAUAUUGUGAAAGAAAAAGACUAUCUAAGAGCAGAAAGUACAAAAGGUGGGUAGCCAUUGCUACAGCUCAAUGUGGAGAAAGCCAUUGUCCUUUAUGAGGUUGCGUAGCACCAAAAUGCCUGAUUCACACACAUAGCAAGCAAAUUGUUCUACCGCAUCCCAUGAAAGUUCAAGUCAUGAUAGUUCUGGAGACAAGGACUACAGUGUUGCAGAAAGAACAAGAACAAAGACAGACGAAUCUUGAUACUUUUGGAGUGAAACAAGAGCGAGAAGAUGCUAUAAGAUGCAAGAUGUACAUCAGAUGUGAAUCACGCAAGGUUCAUGCAGAAAUCAGGACAAGAGUUAUGAAACGAGGAAGAAGAUGAUCAAGAGAUUGGAGAAAAUAAAGUGUUCAAGAAAGUAAGAGAAAAUCUAAGAAUAUCAGGAACAGUCUUACCAAACCUGGUCACAGUCAUUACUACGAUCAUGAUCAUGAAGAAGAAAAUGACGAGAAAGAACCAGAAUGGCACAGUGAGCCAGGUCAACCUGAGACACUGAGUCAUCCGGAGAAACUAAUUUUUUUGCACCAGAGGAGAUCGUUCCACCAUGGAAAUUUUGUUUUCAGUUUGUGUCUUUGGAUUAUACCAAACCCGUUGAACUGGAGCCAUUACGAGAUAUCUUUUGUGGACACAAGAUGACAGAUACUUCAGAUUUGAUGAUAUGCUGCCUCUUAUAUCUUUCGCCAAAUCUUUGGAGUAUCACCUUUGAUGUAGGAAGAUUUAAUCUUUUCACCUAUUCUUUCAUUGUUCCAUAACCAUGAAGCUCAUAUCCAGAUGUUCAAGUUUAAAAGAAUCUUUGAGUAGACUUAGCUAUCUCAUGUUCUGCUUCAUCAAAUGUCAUAGGGAUACCUGCUUAAAAUUCAUGGAUGUGUGGAAGAAAAGCACGAAUUUGGUCAGUGAACACUAAUUAUUCCUGAGUAGUUCCUACAAACAAGAGUUAUAUUGUCAAUUUUACAGCAAAAAAGUGAAGUGAGAACCAAGAUAAAAGGAAAAUAGCUAAUGAUGUUCCAAUGAUAGAGAAUCUAAAGAUGCAGCAAAAAGAUGGCGAAGCUGAGAAAAACAGAAGAGUGAAGUCAGGUUUGAAGUACAACAAAACCUAAUCUGAAUAUGAAUUAUUGAUGGACGAAUGCAAUGAGUGCUUUAUCCACCCAGCUACCCAUAUCUACAUUUUUAUUAUUUAGUUUUCUUAGCUAAAACUUUACAUAUGAUUUCCUUAAUUUGCUUUUUAUGUUGUUCUUUGUUUUAUGGGUUCCUUCUUGAACGUGCACUCAGUAAAACAUAUUUAAAACUUAUACAUUGUGUGAGAAUAUUUGUUUGCAUUUGUCUAAUCAUCGUAAUUCA